UGAAGACGGGAUUAAGAAAGCAGAACGAUUUGGCUCCAUGGUGUGCCCUGCCUCCUGGACAGGAAACAGAAAGGUUUUGUACAGUCCCUGCCGGUUCAGGUUCUGCUGGCUCAGAAGGCUAAGGUGACAGGGUUGUUGUACCACCAGAGCCUGGAACUGCUGAAGAGCCCUUUCUUUCCUGGGGCCCCACUCAAGGCUGGCAGUAUUUUGCAUCACCUGGUACAGAGACUGGAGCAGCGUUCCCAGGUAUGGAGUAUGCUGCCGUCGGAGCCUGGAUGUACUGAGCUUCCUACUUCAGGGUAGAAGAUAAUCCAGAUAUUUUGGAAUAUACUAUGACCGGAGGAAGGAGAUUUAACAUAGUUCUCUGGCAAAUUGUAAAUGUACGGUGCUGCCUGUUCCAUAAAAGAAAAAGCCGUGGAAAAAUCAUGAAUUUUAGGAAAUUUUGAAGACCUGAAAACCUAAAUUAUAAAAACCUAUCAGCUCACACCAGUCAAAAUGGCCGUCACCAAAAAUGCUGCAAACAAUAAAUGCUUAAAGGA